rnacentral:rRNA from 1 species
GACGAACCGUGCGAACGUUGUUCGGAAUCACUGGGCUUAAAGGGCGCGUAGGCGGCUCCGAAAGUCCGGGGUGAAAGCCCCCAGCUUAACUGGGGAAGUGCCUCGGAUACUGCGGAGCUCGAGGGAGGUAGGGGCGGAUGGAACUUCCGGUGGAGCGGUGAAAUGCGUUGAUAUCGGAAGGAGCGCCGGUGGCGAAAGCGAUCCGCUGGCCCUCUACUGACGCUGAGGAGCGAAAGCGUGGGGAGCAAACAGG